rnacentral:rRNA from 1 species
AUUGAACGCUGGCGGCAUGCCUUACACAUGCAAGUCGAACGGCAGCACGGGUGCUUGCACCUGGUGGCGAGUGGCGAACGGGUGAGUAAUACAUCGGAACAUGUCCUGUAGUGGGGGAUAGCCCGGCGAAAGCCGGAUUAAUACCGCAUACGAUCUACGGAUGAAAGCGGGGGACCUUCGGGCCUCGCGCUAUAGGGUUGGCCGAUGGCUGAUUAGCUAGUUGGUGGGGUAAAGGCCUACCAAGGCGACGAUCAGUAGCUGGUCUGAGAGGACGACCAGCCACACUGGGACUGAGACACGGCCCAGACUCCUACGGGAGGCAGCAGUGGGGAAUAUUGGACAAUGGGCGAAAGCCUGAUCCAGCAAUGCCGCGUGUGUGAAGAAGGCCUUCGGAUUGUAAAGCACUUUUGUCCGGAAAGAAAUCCUUGGAGCUAAUACGGUCGGGGGAUGACGGUACCAGAAGAAUAAGCACCGGCUAACUACGUG